rnacentral:rRNA from 1 species
AGAGUUUGAUCCUGGCUCAGGACGAACGCUGGCGGCGCGCCUAACACAUGCAAGUCGAACGAGCGAGAGAGAGCUUGCUUUCUCGAGCGAGUGGCGAACGGGUGAGUAACGCGUGAGGAACCUGCCUCAAAGAGGGGGACAACAGUUGGAAACGACUGCUAAUACCGCAUAAGCCCACGGGUCGGCAUCGACCAGAGGGAAAAGGAGCAAUCCGCUUUGAGAUGGCCUCGCGUCCGAUUAGCUAGUUGGUGAGGUAACGGCCACCGAAGGCGACGAUCGGUAGCCGGACUGAGAGGUUGAACGGCCACAUUGGGACUGAGACACGGCCCAGACUCCGUACGGGAGGCA